rnacentral:rRNA from 1 species
GAUGAACGCUAGCUACAGGCUUAACACAUGCAAGUCGAGGGACCGGCGCACGGGUGAGUAACUCGUAUCCAACCUACCCUUUACUCGGGGAUAGCCUUUCGAAGGAAAGAUUAAUACCCGAUAUAAAGGAUGGGGAUGCGUUGCAUUGGGUUGUUUGUGAGGUAACGGCACACCAAGCCUUCGAUGGAUAGGGGUUCUGAGAGGAAGGUCCCCCAGAUUGGAACUGAGACACGGUCCAAACGCCUACGAGAGGCAGGAGUGAGGAAUAUAGGGCAAGAGGCGCUAGCCUGAACCAGCCAAGUAGCGUGAAGGAUGAAGGCUUAUGGGUCGUAGACGUCUAUGAUAUAAGAAUAGGUAUUUUAUGAAUAAGGAUCGGCUAACUCCGUGCCAGCAGCCGCGGUAAUAC